CCUACGGGGGGCAGCAGUGGGGAAUAUUGCACAAUGGGGGGAACCCUGAUGCAGCGACGCCGCGUGGGUGAAGGAGCACCUCGGUGCGUAAAGCCCUAUCGGCAGGGAAGAAAAGCGAACAGGUUCGCCUGGACGGUACCUGACUAAGAAGCCCCGGCUAACUACGUGCCAGCAGCCGCGGUAAUACGUAGGGGGCAAGCGUUAUCCGGAUUCACUGGGUGUAAAGGGAGCGUAGACGGCGACGCAAGUCUGGAGUGAAAGCCCGCGGCCCAACCGCGGGCCUGCAUUGGGAACUACCGGGCCGG
rnacentral:rRNA from 1 species